rnacentral:rRNA from 1 species
CCUACGGGUGGCAGCAGUGAGGAAUAUUGGUCAAUGGGCGCGAGCCUGAACCAGCCAAGUAGCGUGAAGGAUGACUGCCCUACGGGUUGUAAACUUCUUUUAUAAAGGAAUAAAGUGAGGCACGUGUGCCUUUUUGUAUGUAUUUUAUGAAUAAGGAUCGGCUAACUCCGGGCCAGCAGCCGCGGUAAUACGAAGGAUCCGAGCGUUAUCCGGAUUGAUUGGGUUUAAAGGGAGCGUAGGUGGAUUGUUAAGUCAGUUGUGAAAGUUUGCGGCUCAACCGUAAAAUUGCAGUUGAAACUGGCAGUCUUGAGUACAGUAGAGGUGGGCGGAAGUCGUGGUGUAGCGGUGAAAUGCUUAGAUAUCACGAAGAACUCCGAUUGCGAAGGCAGCCUACUAAACUGCCACUGACAUUGAUGCUCGAAAGUGUGGGUAUCAAACAGGAUUAGAUACCCUUGUAGUC